rfam:Plesiocystis pacifica SIR-1 1103186006308, whole genome shotgun sequence.
UCUGGUGGUCAUGGCGGAGGGGCCAUACCCGAUCCCAUCCCGAACUCGGUAGUCAAGCCCUCCAGCGCUGAUGGUACUGCAGGGGCCACCCUGUGGGAGAGUAAGUCGCCGCCAGAU